CCCGCAACGAGCGCAACCCUUAUCCUUUGUUGCCAGCGAGUAAUGUCGGGAACUCAAAGGAGACUGCCGGUGAUAAACCGGAGGAAGGUGGGGAUGACGUCAAGUCAUCAUGGCCCUUACGAGUAGGGCUACACACGUGCUACAAUGGCAUAUACAAAGAGAAGCGAACUCGCGAGAGCAAGCGGACCUCAUAAAGUAUGUCGUAGUCCGGAUUGGAGUCUGCAACUCGACUCCAUGAAGUCGGAAUCGCUAGUAAUCGUAGAUCAGAAUGCUACGGUGAAUACGUU
rnacentral:rRNA from 1 species